AACAUGUUUGUGAACAUUAAAUAAACGAAUAUGGAACACAUGUAAUUUUAAAUAAACGAACAUAAAGAGAAAUUUAAAAUUCUUAACAAACAUAGACUAAACACAAACAAACUUAAAAAUAUACAAACGAACAUGAACAAAGAUUUAUUCAUUCAAGUUCAAUUCAUUUACAACUUUAAUCAUCGUCGAUAGAAAAGAUCGCUUGAGAAGGCUUAAAUUCAUCACUAAAUACAAAUACACCUUUCAAUGGCAUGUAAUGCCUCCGAAGGGAUAUCAUGUCACAACAAGCCAUAAAAGAAGCUCUGUAAAUCACACAAGUGCUAUAAGAGCCGACGCCCUAAGAAUGAUUACACUAUCGAUAAACGACUAUAGCCACCAAUCGCAAGAUUUGGUGCGAUGAGAAUCGUGCUCUAGCAAGGUCCAUGGUGAAGGCGGCGCAAGAAGAUAGAGAAUGCGGCAACUAGAGAGGUUGGGGAACACCGGGCUUGGAGGCUCCAAGUUGGAGCCACAUGUUCGAAGGGAAACUCUGCAAGACAAUCGGCAAAAGGCUCCAAGCUUGUAAACCUAUAUUUUAUGAAUGGUUCUUUUAAGUAAUGGGGCCUUAAGAGUAAAGGUAAGUAACGAGCUCUAAUAAUUGAUUGGGUAAAGUGUACAAUUAAUCAUCAAACUUCCAUAACUUUUCGUUUUGGACAUCAAGAGAUAAAAAAUUUCAUUUCAGGCACUAUUAUUAAAAACUAUUUCAUUUUAAGUAUAACCGCUAAAAACUAUUUUCAUUUUCGUCAUCAGUCAUUCAUUCAUUAUCAUUAUACAUUCAUUUUAGUCACCCAAUUUUGAUAAGUUUUCAUGUUUGUCACUCGUUUUCCUUUUUAAGAUUAAUUUUAUUUUUUUAAAGAAAAAAUUGAGUUUUUAUACAAAAUUGAGUUAUUAAUGAAACCCAAAUAAAAAUAGUUUUUAACGCCGAUUCUUAAAAUUAAAUUUUUAUUUUUUCUAUGUCUCAAAUGAAAUUUUAUGAAAGUUGGUCACCAAAUAUGUAUUUUACCCUAAUUAAUUUAAUUAAAAUCAUAUUUUUAAGUAAUCAAAAUAUCAUUGUCUCAAUAAACAUAAAAAAAUAUAUAAAAUACUAAUAUAAAAAUUUAUAUUAAUACUGUAAAUUUUCAGUAUUAGUUAAAAAAUUAGAUUUGUUGUAUAGUUUAAAAUAUUUCAGUAUUAUUAUUUUAUUAAUAUAAGCUAGAUUAUACGAUUUGUCAUUCGGCUAUUAGUGUGUUUUUUAUUUGGUCAUAGAACUAAAAAAAUUAUCAUCUUUGUCACCAAUGUUAUCAUUUAUUUUUGUUUUGGUCAUUCUUCGUUAAAUCAUUAAUAAAAAAUAUGACAUGACUUUUUUUUAAUUAAUAUAACACAUUUAGUCCUCUUCACCUGCACAUUUUAUCAAUUUAAUGCUAAUUCUAAAUAACUGAAAAAAUUUAGCUAUCUACAUUUACUGUUUCUAUCAAAUUGGUCCUAUUCUCUAUCUCCAAACCAAUUACUAUUAGUUAAUUUCGUUUAUUCUCUCUAUUUUUGUGGGUUGUGUAAUUAUUGGAAAGAAGAUUGUGCGAAUGAUGAUAAAUCCAAAGGCUUGUUCACCUAACCUGUCAAAAGGGUGGAGA
rnacentral:lncRNA from 1 species